rnacentral:lncRNA from 1 species
GGCCAGCCCAAGGCCACCCCCUUGGUCACUCUGUUCCCGUCCUCCUCUGAGGAGCUCCAAGCCAAAAGGCCACACUGCUGUGUCUCAUGAGUGGCUUCUACCCGGGAGCUGUGACGGUGGCCUGGAAGGCAAACAGCACCCCUGUCACCCAGGGUACGGAAGUCACCAAGACCUCCAAACAGAGCAACAAGCACACAGCCAGAAGCGACCUGAGCCUGACACCCGACCAGUGGAGGUCCUGCAGCAGCUACAGCUGUAAGGUCACACACAAGAGAGCACUGUGGAGAAGACAGUGGCCCCUGAAGAAUGUUCU